rnacentral:rRNA from 1 species
UACGUAGGGGGCUAGCGUUGUCCGGAUUUAUUGGGCGUAAAGAGCGUGUAGGCGGCCAGGUAGGUCUGGUGUGAAAACUCGAGGCUUAACCUCGAGAUGUCAUCGGAAACCAUCUGGCUAGAGUCCGGAAGAGGAGAGUGGAAUUCCUGGUGUAGCGGUGAAAUGCGCAGAUAUCAGGAAGAACACCAAUGGCGAAAGCAGCUCUCUGGGACGGUACUGACGCUGAGACGUGAAAGCGUGGGGAGCGAACAGG